UACGUAGGGUGCGAGCGUUAAUCGGAAUUACUGGGCGUAAAGCGUGCGCAGGCGGUUGGGUAAGACAGAUGUGAAAUACCCGGGCUUAACCUGGGAACUGCAUUUGUGACUGUCCGACUGGAGUAUGUCAGAGGGGGGUGGAAUUCCAAGUGUAGCAGUGAAAUGCGUAGAUAUUUGGAAGAACACCGAUGGCGAAGGCAGCCCCCUGGGGCAAAACUGACGCUCAUGCACGAAAGCGUGGGGAGCAAACAGG
rnacentral:rRNA from 1 species